UUAAUGUUUAUGUGUGUUUAUGCAUCAAACUUAGUAGUGACGUUUACUGUCAGUGUAUCUCUCAUUAUUAAUUAUAAAUAAUACUAAUAAUAACUCUCUUAAAUUAAUUAUACAAUUAAUUAAUUAAUAGUAAAUUAAUAAUAUAAGAUAAGAUAAUAAUAUCUGUUAUUAUUAAUUAUAACCUAAAAAUAUUCAACACGUGUCAGGGGUCCCUACCAACAACGACUUUUGUGUUGUUCGAACAAUGCCACGAAAACGCAAAGGCGCUGAUUUGAGCCGUAAUACAAGUAAAACCAGAAGCAAGAGAAAUUUCAGAUCCGAAAGAUCUGAAGAAGAAAUCCAGCAAGAAACUACUGAUGCACGUGUAAGCAUGGCGCGAUUGCGUCAAGAACAAUCUGAAGAUACACGAGCUGAACGCAAUGAAGUGAUAAGAUUACAACAACGACAAUCACGCCGAUUCACAGCCAAUAGACGCAGAACAAACGACCAGCAACGCCAACAGUUGGAAUUUCGUUUUUAACAAUGCUACCAACCAGACGUACAAGCUUAGGCCGCAGAACUCGAAAUACGGCAAGUCAAAGAAAUAUAAGAGCAAAUCAAACUGAUGAGCAUCGCGAAGCGCGAAAUGAACUUAAACUGAAUCGAUAUUUCGAUAGAAAUGUUGUGUUUAAUCCCCACAAAGCUGCAUUCAGUUAUAAUGUGGCAAUUGAUUACAGUUCAGAGCAAAUUGUUGCUAUGUUGGACUAAUGAACAUUGUGUGUCCACAUUGGGAUUGGAAUUAAAAAAUUAAGCCUCUGGAUUGUGUUGCGCCAGCGGCCAAGUCAAAUUGACGCCAUUGGUACCGCCACCAGAGCCACUACAUUCAUUGGUUCAUUUUUGACUCAUAUCCAGCAGUACAAUAAUUGCUUUCAAAUGACAUCAUUUGGGGCAACAAAAGUUAUACGAGACAAUUUUUUGCCUACUUUUAGCAAAUUCAGGGAUUCAAAUAUAUCAUCAAACAGGUUCCUUAUUGCCAGUGCCUGUUGAAGACUAUACAUUUUUGCAAAUAUAUUUUAUGGACAAUUCAGCAAGAGAAGUCGAUCAGCGUUGCGCACACAACAACUCAGUAAAGAGAUCCAUUGUGAUGAACAACUUCAAACAUUUUUCCUUCAACACAAUGAAUUAGUUGCAUUAGACCGAUGCAUUAGACAUUCACAAAUGCAUUAGACCGCAUGCCAUCAGAUAAUCACAAAAUUGUCAUCAGAGCCGAUAAGGCGCCUGCAGGACAGUGAAAUGAUUGAAUCCUAUGAAAUAAAUACUAUUAUGAAAAUA